rnacentral:rRNA from 1 species
GACGAACGCUGGCGGCGUGCUUAACACAUGCAAGUCGAACGGAAAGGCCCUGCUUGCCGGGUACUCGAGUGGCGAACGGGUGAGUAACACGUGGGUGAUCUGCCCUGCACUUCGGGAUAAGCCUGGGAAACUGGGUCUACUACCGGAUAGGAGCCAUUUUUAGUGUGAUGGUUGGAAAGUUUUUUCGGUGUAGGAUGAGCUCGCGGCCUAUCAGCUUGUUGGUGGGGUAAUGGCCUACCAAGGCGGCGACGGGUAGCCGGCCUGAGAGGGUGGACGGCCACAGUGGGACUGAGAUACGGCCCAGACUCCUACGGGAGGCAGCAGUGGGGAAUAUUGAACAAUGGGCGCAAGCCUGAUGCAGCGACGCCGCGUGGGGGAGGACGGCCUUCGGGUUGGAAACUCCUUUCGCUAGGGACGAAGCUUUUUGUGACGGUACCUAGAGAAGAAGCACCGGCUAACUACGUG